rnacentral:lncRNA from 1 species
CCACGCUAUGCUGACGCCCUGUCGGAUAACUGCUUACUGCCGUUAUGCGCGUACCCCUGCAGAAUCCCCACUACUGACCUUCCUCCUGAAAUACCCUAACCUCUCCUCACUCUAGCUCUUUACACUAUUUCAGCGCCCCCGUCCGAAAAAUCUAGCAAAGAAAAUGCUAACAAUCCCGGAGCCCCUGCUCGGGCGCCAUCUGUAAGGUAGUCUUUUCG